rnacentral:rRNA from 1 species
CCGAUCCCGGGCCUUGUACACACCGCCCGACACCCCAUCGGACUGGGAAGCAACACCCCGCCGUAGCCUAACCUACGGGAGGCCCCUUACCACGUUGUGAUACCUGACUGGGGUGAAGUCGUACCAAGGUAACCGCACGGGCACCUGCCGUUGGAUCACCUCCUUC